GGGAAUGUAGCUUAGUUGGUAGAGUGCUUGCCUCAUAUGCACCAGGCCCUGGGUUCAAUCCCCAGCAUGCCCCCCCU